rnacentral:ncRNA from 1 species
AUCACUAGGGGUGUCUGGGUUUCACCAUGAACCCAGACUGAGAUCACACCCUCCGAACCUGAUUCCGGGUCAUGCCGGCGCAGGGAAGUGCUU